GACUUCCGGUUCCCGCGCGGCGCUCCAAAGCUCGGGGAGUGGUGGUCUCCCUUUCCUGGAGUCAUUUGUGGGAGUUAGGGUCUUAUCCUGAUCUUUCCUCGUCCCCCGCUCCCCCGUCCUCCGAGGUGGCAGCUGCGUAGUCUGGAACGUUUUUUCUUAGAGUUCCAGAAUUGAGACUGAAGUGUACCCAGAGACACAAAGAAAUACAGAAGUCCAGAAUGAUCAAAUGAGAUCACUACCCAAUGAAAUGAUGGGCCGAGGAGCCAGAAGUUGUCCUACUACCUGCUUUCCAGGUCCAGAUUCCACGAGAGCCUUCUGGGCUCCCACCAGAGACCCUCAGUGAAGACUCUGUUGAAGACUUUAAGACCAUGCUAGAAAGCCUCCCGGCAGAGGUUCAGGAAGUUCUGCUAUGAGGAUGCAGCUGGCCCCAGGGAUGUCCUCAGGCAUCUCUAGGACCUUGCUGGACGGUGGUGGCUGAGACCUGAUAUCCACACAAAGGAGCAGACUGUGGAAAUGCUGGUGCAGGAGCAAUUCCAGGCUGUCCUGCCCGAGGAGCUCAGAGCUCAAGCACAGAGAUGUCAGCCUGGAAUCAGAAUCACUGGCUAAGUCUUGCUGCUUGCUUCUUGCUCAGCCUGCAUAUGAGAAGUCAACCAAGCAUUCUCUUGGAUGCAAGAUCCAACUGCACCCAUGGGAAAUCUGAACUUCCACUUUCUUUGAGCUUGUCUUUGGUUGUAAUAAGAAUCCAUCAAAACCCAUGUCUGGAUCUCUCUUUGGCUGAGGCAGCUUUAUUUCCUACAGAAAGAGUUUCUCUGUCCUCUUGUUAGGACAAUCAGCCUGCUGCUUUGGGCUUUUCCAAGAGCCUAUUUUUCAUCUGCUGGAUGCCUCUUUUUUUUUUUUUUUUUUUUUUUGCACUGUGUGACAUGCUUUAAUAUAUAUAUUUUUUAUGUAUCCAAAGAGGUAAUCAACUUUAACUUUCAGAAUUCAUGAAUCUUGGUUUGGUGGCAUGAAUGAAAGGUUAUGUAACCCCACCAGUAACUCAUUUGGGGUGCCCUUGAAAUAUUAAAGUUUGGUCCUCAAUAAAU
rnacentral:lncRNA from 10 species